UACGUAGGGUGCAAGCGUUGUCCGGAAUUAUUGGGCGUAAAGAGCUCGUAGGCGGUUUGUUGCGUCGGCUGUGAAAUCCCGAGGCUCAACCUCGGGUCUGCAGUCGAUACGAGCAAACUAGAGUGUUGCAGGGGAGACUGGAAUUCCUGGUGUAGCGGUGAAAUGCGCAGAUAUCAGGAGGAACACCAAUGGCGAAGGCAGCUCACUGGGACGGUAUUGACGCUGAGACGCGAAAGCGUGGGGAGCAAGCAGG
rnacentral:rRNA from 1 species